UGGGGAAUUUUGGACAAUGGGCGCAAGCCUGACCCAGCCAUACCGCGUGAGUGAAGAAGGCCUUCGGGUUGUAAAGCUCUUUCAGACGGAAAGAAACGGUUACGGCUAAUACCCGUGACUAAUGACGGUACCGUAAGAAGAAGCACCGGCUAACUACGUGCCAGCAGCCGCGGUAAUACGUAGGGUGCGAGCGUUAAUCGGAAUUACUGGGCGUAAAGCGUGCGCAGGCGGUUUGGUAAGACAGAUGUGAAAUCCCCGGGCUUAACCUGGGAACUGCAUUUGUGACUGCCAGACUAGAGUGUAGCAGAGGGGGGUAGAAUUCCACGUGUAGCAGUGAAAUGCGUAGAUAUGUGGAGGAAUACCGAUGGCGAAGGCAGCCCCCUGGGCUAACACUGACGCUCAUGCACGAAAGCGUGGGGAGCAAACAGGAUUAGAUACCCAGGUAGUCCCUGAGCGGGCUGGCAAGGCGCAU
rnacentral:rRNA from 1 species